UUCACAUCCACACUCGUAGUUGUCGGGCGUAAGGUGUAUUAGUACGUGUACGAGUGUCUGUCAGUAAGGUUCUUGUGAUCAUUCUCUAGAAAUUAGUACCCGCACUACAAAACCUAAUAAACUACCAAUUAGCACAGAUUACGAGUUAAUUAUCAUUUGCUGUAAGAUUAAUAUACACGUAUUAUCUGAGAAUAUCUGAAGAAGUCGAAGGAUACGAGCCAUUGUUUUGGCAACAGAAUUAUAUACACAGUUCCUGCGCCAAGGAUAUAGGAACUUGUGUGUGUGUGUGUGUGUCUAUACCAUCUCUUAACUACACAAGACACCACCAUUACAAUCUACAAGUGGCUAAAACAAACCCUGGUAACUACAGAAGAGGGUGUGCUGUAUCCUACGUUAACCAUAGUGAAAACACACACACACACCCAAGAAUUAACGCCAGAAUCCUUGAAGAAGUGUUGACUAGAUGCUGAGAUUACUGAAUAUGGUUACUGUGCUAGGCGCCCGGCUCUUCCGUCACCGAAUAUUAUUAGUUGUGCUCCUGCCUGUGAUGCUGGUCGUUACCCUCCACCUGAAGUUUCAUCUUGAUACCAGCAGGAGGUUACCAACACCAUGUUGGAUAAGAAGUGAAGUGACCGAACUGUA